rfam:Calypte anna contig19219, whole genome shotgun sequence.
GAAUCCUCCUGAAGCACAGGAGGAUGUGUGGUAUUUUUCUUAUCAGUUUAAUAUCUGAUAAUAUCCUCAAUGAGAGGACUUUAUAUUAAACAGAUUUGUGGGUCUGUGAGUUGGACCCGGAGCUUGCUCUCAGUCUUUUUUUUUUUAUUUAUUUUUUUUGGGCAUUGGAAUGGCCCAGGACAGUGGUGGAGUCACC